AAUGAACGUUGGCGGCGUGGAUUAGGCAUGCGAGUCGUGCGAGAACCGUAGCAAUACGGGGACAGCGGCGAAAGGGAGAGGAAUACGUGGGUACCUACCCUCGGGUCCGGGAUAGCCAUGGGAAACUAUGGGUAAUACCGGAUAAUGUCUUCGGACCAAAGGUGUGAUUCCGUCCGGGGAGGGGCCCGCGUCCUAUUAGCUAGUUGGCGAGGUAACGGCUCACCAAGGCGAAGAUGGGUACGGGAUGUGAGAGCAUAAUCCCGCUCAUUGGGACUGAGACACUGCCCAGACACCUACGGGUGGCUG
rnacentral:rRNA from 1 species